GGCAUGUUAGGCUUGUUCCUGGGUUUAUGCAUGAAUUGGUUCUAUACUUGAUGACUUAGGUUUUUACGCGUUCAGUUCACAUGUGUGAUAUGUGAUUACGGCUGUAACAAACCUUUAGGCUUGAACGAUGUUAGUCCAUACCCCCAACCUAACCGUGGUUGUCAUACGAUCCUUUUAUUACCAAAUGUAUAUCCUUAAAUGUUUUAUAAACUGAUUUUUUUUCACCUGUCUUUUCGCAUGACCACAUAUGUUGUCAAUCCAAACAUUUCUCAUAUUGACACAUGACCACCUCGACAUUUCAUAGUGUAUGUAUAUAUCUUUUUAUAUUCGCCAGGCCUAUACUCUUUUCAAUUUUUAGCAACACCCAACAACGGUGCUGAAGAAAAUUUUUAUGCAUAUACAUACAAAAUUCCUAUGCAUCCUGAGUAUUCUAUCCUAAGAAGAAUUUCUAUGUAACGCAUCAUGAUCAACACGGAUAGCGCAUUCCAUCAUGAGCAGAAGGUGGCUAGAGAAAAUUUUUAUGUAUAUAUAUACAAAAUUUAUGUUUCACAGCAUGCAUACAAAAGUUUCUAUGCAUAUUUUAAGAUGACUUGAAUGCAGGUUCUAUGCGUCAUGAUGAGAAACAAGCUAGGCCUGAUCCAGUAGAGGCACGCGGUGUGGACCUGCCGAAGUACACAUUGCAUGCUUGUAUGUAUUGGAUGGUUGGAAGGAUUCCUCUAUUUUUGGUGUGAGGUCAAUGGUGGCUCGGACAUCAUAGGACAUGACUUGCGACGUUCACAACUUCCUUAGUUUGUGAUGGUGGCGUAGUGUGAUAUUCGAUAUAGUUGAUGGAUUAAUGUAAAAAGUUAGUUUUUCAUAUGUUGUGUUUAUAUGCUUGGAUAAUAUGAGCGAAAGUAUUGAUUUCUAUGUAACCUCUGUUGGGUUUCAAUAUUUGGUUAACUGAGUGUCUAUGCAUGUUGUGAGUUGGGAACA